AUAUCUACAGAAAAAUAUCAUAGAUGGCGCUGCUUUAAAAUUGUCUUGUCUACUUAUAUUCAUUUAAUUAUGUUUAUCGGCUUAGUUACUUGUAUUGCAUGAUUUUUUAUAGUGUGAAGCUAGCUUAUAUAGCAUGGUUAUUAACAUAAUAACAACAACAACAUUCAAAUAUGCUUCAUUAGAUUACACGUUGUUAUAGAAUGCGUUGAGGAAAUAAAGGUUCACUGCUCGUUCCUGGUAGGUGAUAGCAUGACAAUAUGUAGCCUAUAUGUUGACCCGACUUCUUAAUAAUAUUCGUGCCAAAUUUGAAGUAAAUCCAUGCGGUACUUUUUAAGUUUAUCCCGGACAUACAUACAGACAAACAGACAAAAAUUCUAAAAACUAAGUUUUUGGCUUCGGUAUCGAUUGUAGAUCACACCCCAAGUAUUCUUUUAAAACAAUAUUCAAUGUACAGUUUUGACUUUCCUACCAUUUUAUUAUAUGUAUAGAUUAUAUUUCUCACUCAUCUAGUCGGUUUUAAUACUAAAUUUCUUAAUAUGUAAAAUUAUUAGUUAAAAAUUAUAGGUAAUUAAAUCUAAAUGACAUAUAAAAUAAAAAACCAUAUUUACUAUUCAUUUAAUAUUUACUUUUAUAAUUAUGUUAUUUUCAUUCAUAACUAACAACGAUAUGGGUGUUACGAUGUAUUCAAAUUCAGUAAAACAAAUUAAAACAAAAUACAAAUUUCACUCACUAUUAAAUUUAAUAUUACAGUACUAGCAAUAAGAAAACUCUUUUACUUUAAAUAAUUUAUAUAAGUCAACCUCAUUUCGAAGAAAUGUAUUAAACGGGAAAUUCUCAUUUAGUAUAAGUGCACGCAAAUCGUGAGAGUGAGAAUUCAGUGGGAUUAAGACGUUCCAAUAACAUCGCUUCAAACAUUCAGGUCACUAGUAUGUCUUAACUUUUUACACAGAGGGUCUUUAGAAGCAACGUCGAUUACAAAAUUCAUAUUAGAUAAGACUUAAUAAAAUAUGCGUAUCUAAACUAUCGUAUUACCUUACUGAAUUCAUACGGUCUUCUCUCGUAUAGUAAUACGCCCCAUCUGGCGCACGAAAAGACCGCGAAUAGUAAUACCGAGUGCGUCUCCGCUCUCUACCGAUUAACUUUAUCAGAGUCAUACCAUAAAGAUAAUAAUUAUAAUAUAUUUACACGAAUUAUAAAGGUGUGUCAGCAAAUGAAUAGACGCAGGGACGACAGCUAAGCUCAACUAUGUGAUUUGAAAUCGUGCGCCGAGCGCAAUAUACCUCUUAUACUAAAAAUUUAUAAGUAAUUAGUACAUACAAAUAUGUAAUAAUACGAGCGUAUUUAACAUACGUUACCGGGGCCAUUUUCAUAUUAUUAUUAUUGGAAAUUUUGUAAUAGCUUGGCACGCUAAAGAUGUUUUGUGAUUACGUCAUUUAUCGAUGUAACAGAAUGUGUUAUUAUGACAAAGUCUAAACCAGACAGUUGCAAUCUCGUCUUUUUUCAGCUGCCUAACCCGUGUAGGUGCUCUUUUAGAUUUGGUGGAAAUCAUUUUUCACCGAACAUUAUUUAUUGAUAAUAAUAGCUACUUGAAAAUCAUAAAUAAGAUUUUUUUCUCUAUGUGUAGAGGAUUUUAAUACCUUCCUAAUAACUUGUACGCCGUCUCAAAGUGCAAAAUGAAAUAGAUAAAAUACUUAAAACUAUGACAAUGAUUUUCAUUAUUUUAACAUCUUUUUUUAUAUAUAAAUGACUACUAUUAAUGUGUUCUCAAUGACAUUUUUUUACAUAGCAGAAAUAUUUAUUGAAUAUAUAAUACGAUAUUAUAUUAAAAAAAAAAAAAACUAUGACGUUACAAUAGGACACCGACAGUGCUUAUUUAAUACAUUACAUUUAUUUAGCAUUGGAUAUAUAUGUGAGGUACACUGCAAUAAAAGUACUAAUGUAAAGUUGCCCAAAUAAACAAUUAUUUAUAAUGUAGUAAAUCUAAAAAUUUUUUUAAAUUGUUUAUACAAAUACAUAAUAUUCUGAAAUAGUAUUAAAUAUUAAAAUUAUCUUGAGAGAUCAGUUUACGCUAGUUAUAAAAAUUUACAAGUAUGUUUUUUUUUUAUUUGCAACAAAAUGCUCAUUCUGAUAAGUUCAUCAUAAUUGAAAUAUGCAAUGCAAUACCAGGCGUACGCUGCGUACGCGUAUCGCAAGUCAGGAAUACGCUCCCGUAGUUAAUAUUCUAAUGCGCUACUGAAAGUUUACUACAGAUUACACGGCCCAAGCAAAGUUACGAUCCACGCUAUAUCAUGUGGCUACCUUAAUAGGUGAUUUACGUGAAACGAGUAUGUGACUACUUUUAGUUUAUGAGGUUUAAAAGAAAUUUUAUAUCGCUGACCAUUUGAGAAAGGGACGAAGAAAGUGAAAAUAUUACACGACUUAAUAAACGGUAAUGUACAAAUUACUCGAAUUUCGAAUUGUCGAUAAAUAAUCACAGUUAAAACUCAGCUUCAAGGUAUGUACACGAGGAAGGAAUUUGAGCUUACAAAAGUACAAAGUAAUCACAUUGCGACGGUUUAGACUCUACAGUGGAUUUACCCUUCUCACCGACUACGACAGCUCAAGCUUUAUCGACGAUAACGCUACAGUAUCACACGAUUACUCGCCGAAAACACCUAUUAUGCAUUUAAUUUUCCCGAUGGCCAACACGAAAAGUACUAUCACUAAUUAGCAUACGACCGAGUCUCGGGUCGAGGGCGGGGAGCGGCCGGCAGCCCGGAGCCCGCUGCGAGGCGCGCGGGGCGCCGUCUACGACGCGCCCGGGGAGCCGCCGCUGGGCCCGCUCGCCGCCGUCUCGCCUGCGCAAACAUGCUCUGUACACUUCGGGAACUCAGCGGCGGGACGGAGGUCCGACGAGUCUAGCGCGAGCCACCGUCCCUUUUCGAUUACAACUAAUAUAUCCCGGUUCAAAGAGGUCGGGGCGGCCGAAUAGUCUUUAAACCGAGCGACCCAGAAAAAAUAUGAAAGAAUCGGUGGACAUCGAUGUUAAAACAACUAGGAUCGAUGUUAAAAUUAACUGAGGUAGGGCACAGCAGGAAUUUCUUGCUCAAAAUAUGGAGCAGCCCGACUGGGGUAGUACCUCGAAUUACAGAAGACUACAGCUAAAUAAUACUGUUUUCAAGCAGUAUUGUGUUCCUGUUGAGGGUUUGGGGAUUGUGGGUCGGCAACGCGCUUGCGAUGCUUCUGGUGUUGCAGGCGUCUAUAAGCUACGGUAAUCGCUUACCAUCAGGUGAGCCGUACGCUUCUUUGUCGUCGACCUAGUGACAUAAAAAAAACAUCGAUA
rnacentral:misc_RNA from 1 species